UACGGAGGGUGCAAGCGUUAUCCGGAUUCACUGGGUUUAAAGGGUGCGUAGGUGGGUCUGUAAGUCAGUGGUGAAAUCUCCGGGCUUAACCCGGAAACUGCCAUUGAUACUAUAGGUCUUGAAUUAUCUGGAGGUCAGCGGAAUAUGUCAUGUAGCGGUGAAAUGCUUAGAUAUGACAUAGAACACCGAUAGCGAAGGCAGCUUGCUACACAGUCAUUGACACUGAGGCACGAAAGCGUGGGGAGCAAACAGG
rnacentral:rRNA from 1 species